rnacentral:lncRNA from 1 species
GUGGUGGUACCGUGGUCAUGAACUUUGCAUUUUCCUGGUGUUUGUUCAUGUUCUCAGUGUGGUGAAAGCUUUUCCCUUAUCAGAAGAUCUUCCUGGAGGCUGAUUGAAGGCAGCAGAAGAAAUGCGUUUUGGUUUCUGUGAGUUUUGUAGUGAAAGUUGCUUCUCCUCACAGAGAAAUAGGUGUUCCAUUAGUUGCAACCAUAACUCGACCUUGGGCUCCUCUUGGCUCUGCUGGCGGUCUCUCACGUGGCCGCGGUUGCUUAUCCUUCCUCCUUGUCCAUGACUUGGCAAUGCAGAAAAAUCUGACAAGCUCUUCAUACCAAGUCCUCAAUAAGAGUGUUCAUCUGUUACAAAUCUGGUUCGCUGGCUCCAGAAGUGUUGGCAGGCAUCGUCUGGCUUCUCCUGGAACUGUAGAGCGGGCAAGAGAAGUGGACGGCACACGCUGCGAAGCCCAAGGUCUGAUAACUCAGUGGAAAGAGGGCAAAGAGAAGAAACAGCUGAAUGCCUUUGGGGAGGCAGAGGGGUGAAACAAGAGCAGCUGCCAGCCCCGGUGUGGGAAACUGGCAGGAAAAGAAGCCCCGUCCGACAUGCCGACAUCUCUAUCCCUCGCUGUCUGUGCUUCAGGAAAGUCUCCGAUGACCGAGGCAGCAUCCCCAUGAAACCUGCUGCGUUGCGAUUUCAUUCACGCCUAAAACUGUUUCUCUCAGCACUGACUGGGGAGCGAUCAACAGCCGGGACAAAAGCUCAGCGAAGGCAGCACGUCUCCUCCUCGCCUGGCCUCGGGUGUGACUCUGAGCAUCCAUUUCUCCAGCUGCUUCUCCCCCAUCCCAAACAUGAUGUGAUCUCUUUGCUGCUUGCCUUCCCGAGGUCGAGGAGGAGGAGGGAGAUGCCGUGGUGAUGCUUUGUGUCCGGAUGCUCCUGGCUCCAAGCGUGGUGCUUUGGGCAGGAGUCAGCUCCCCGGAUCUCUAGUCCCUCGCUGUCACUCGGGAUGGGAUGCGCAUCAUCCCACGUCCCUGUCCCAUCCCACACCUUUGUCCUGCGAGCCUGCAGGAGCAAAGGCACCUGAACAGAUGGCGGAAAAAGUCCGGUUUAAAAAUAAAAAAAGUGUGACAAAACCUCCCCACUUUUAGACCUUCAGCGGUCACGUCUCCGUGCUGCUCCUGGUUUCGAGAGCCAGCGUGCAGCGGCUUCGCACCCGGGGCUCCGGAUUUGACACCCGCCUGCAGCGAGGCGGGGAUGCCGC